rnacentral:vault_RNA from 1 species
GGGCUGGCUAUAGCCCAGUGGUUACUUCAAUGUGCUUAUCACUUCUCUCAUGCCCCAUGAGGGGUUCAAUCCCGCAGGCACCUUAGGCCCCCCCCCUUUU